rnacentral:lncRNA from 1 species
UUUUUUUUUUUUCCUUUUUAUUCUCCUAUAAAUAUUACACCUAAUUCACAUUCUUUUUCAUAUUCAACACAUAUCUCUCUUCUAAUUAAAAAUAGAAUUUUAAAUUAAAAGAGUAAAAAUGAGAUUAAUUGAAAAUAAAGAUUUUAGCGCCACUUAUAAUGUCAAUACAGUGGAGAGAGGUGACGUUAAAGUGAGAACCAAGGACAUGAGAUAUUCUAAUGGUACGUCGUG